UCUCUAAACCCUUCUUUUGUAGUGGUCAAGAGAGACAAAGUGAUGUCUCCAAAGUCAACCAACUUGAUGGCUUGAUCAGGAGGCUCUUCAGGUGUGGCUGCCAGCAGUACCAAACUUUUCCUUACAACUUAGCAACUCUAAGAGAAGGACACCUCUGUCUAGGAGUUCCAGCAAAGUCCCAGGCUGGUCACAUGCCAUGCUAAUUUCUGAAUCUGUUACGAUGACUCCGACCAAGUCUGCCUUCUGUGUCGAGCUCUGAAGCCAGAAUGUGAAAUCGGCCCCAUGAAACCACAUGGCCUGAAGGACAUGAGCUUUUCAGAGGAGGGAACUGCAUCUUCCACUCCACUGGAAACCCCAAAAUGGCCUGCAGCAGUGGAAUUCAUAAGCAUUAAGUCUUUCUGCCUCUUGAAGGGGCCUGUAAUUCCAUUCCCCAAACAGCCAAUCCAUCUGUACCCUGCAGCUGUUUCCUAGGUAACUAACCCAGCCAAAUAAAAGACUUGUACCCAAUAGGAAAAAGGAAACGGAACUAGAAACUACAGCAUCCCACAUGCCUCUCAGCGUCUCACCUGUGCAGCAUAACACACAAAAGGAAAGUCAUCCUGAGUCUUACUCCAUUAAGUGGGGGCAUCUUAAGAACCUUCGACACUCGUCAUCUGUAAAUCCAGACACUGUUAAAACGAUUUAAUACAGCCAGUCUGAGCAUGUCUGUUGCCACAGUGAGGAUGAUUAUAAGGGUAUCAUGAGAAACUCCCAUGGAAGAAUUCCAUUCAAGGAUACUUACUGUUUCUUCUCUGAUUAAUCUGGCAGAAGUAACCCAUUUAUUUCACCUGAAUGAAUAACCUCCAUGGUUUGUACACAGAACUGAGCUGGAUUAAGGUCAGCUUUGGAUGAACACAAUGGUCUCCUUUCCCACAUCUCUACCCAGACUACUGAACUCUGCUGGAUAAAAGUACAUAACUGUAAGACUGGCAUCAUUAAAAAAUUUAUGGACCCAACUAGGCCCUCAUUACAACCCAGAAA